GUUUUAAUAGUUUAAAAUAAAACAUUGAUCUUGUAAAUCAAAAUUGAAAUUAAUUCUUAAAACU
rnacentral:tRNA from 1 species